rnacentral:rRNA from 1 species
GACGAACGCUGGCGGCGUGCUUAACACAUGCAAGUCGAACGGAAAGGCCCUGCUUUUGUGGGGUGCUCGAGUGGCGAACGGGUGCGUAACACGUGAGUAACCUGCCCUUCACUUUGGGAUAACUUCAGGAAACUGGGGCUAAUACCGGAUAGGAGCUCCUGCUGCAUGGUGGGGGUUGGAAAGUUUCGGCGGGUGGGGAUGGACGCGCGGCUUAUCAGCUUGCUGGUGGGGUAGUGGCUUACCCAGGCUUUGACGGGUAGCCGGCCUGAGAGGGUGACCGGCCACAAUGGGACUGAGAGACGGCGCAGACUGCUACGGGAGGCAGCAGGGGGGAAUCUUGCACAAUGGGCGGAAGCCUGAUGCAGCAACGCCGCGUGCGGGAUGCCGGCCUUCGGGUUGUAAACCGCUUUCGCCUGUGACGAAGCGUGAGUGACGGUAAUGAGUGAAGAAGCACCGGCUAACUACGUG